CCUACGGGUGGCAGCAGUAGGGAAUAUUGCUCAAUGGGGGAAACCCUGAAGCAGCAACGCCGCGUGAGGGAUGAAGGUUUUGGGAUUGUAAACUCCUUUUGUUAAGGAAGAUAAUGACGGUAUCUAACGAAUAAGCACCGGCUAAGUCCGUACCAGCAGCCGCGAUAAUACGGAGGGUGCAAGCGUUACUCGGAGUCACUGGGCGUAAAGAGGGCGUAGGGGGGAUAGCAAGUCAGACGUGAAAUCCUAUGGCUUAACCAUAGAACUGCAUUUGAAACUGUUAGUCUAGAGUAUGGGAGAGGUAGGUGGAAUGCUUGGUGUAGGGGUAAAAUCCGUAGAGAUCAAGAGGAAUACUCAUUGCGAAGGCGACCUGCUAGAACAUCACUGACGCUGAUGCGCGAAAGCGUGGGGAGCAAACAGGAUUAGAUACCCCAGUAGUC
rnacentral:rRNA from 1 species